GAUGAACGCUGGCGGCGUGCCUAAUACAUGCAAGUCGAGCGAACAGACGAGAAGCUUGCUCCUCUGAUGUUAGCGGCGGACGGGUGAGUAACACGUGGAUAACCUACCUAUAAGACUGGGAUAACUUCGGGAAACCGUAGCUAAUACCGGAUAAUAUUUGGAACCGCAUGGUUCUAAAGUGAAAGAUGGUCUUGCUAUCACUUAUAGAUGGACCCGCGCUGCAUUAGCUAGUUGGUAAGGUAACGGCUUACCAAGGCGACGAUACAUAGCCGACCUGAGAGGGUGAUCGGCCACACUGGAACUGAGACACGGUCCAGACUCCUACGGGAGGCAGCAGUAGGGAAUCUUCCGCAAUGGGCGAAAGCCUGACGGAGCAACGCCGCGUGAGUGAUGAAGGUCUUCGGAUCGUAAAACUCUGUUAUUAGGGAAGAACAUAUGUGUAAGUAACUGUGCACAUCUUGACGGUACCUAAUCAGAAAGCCACGGCUAACUACGUG
rnacentral:rRNA from 1 species